AACGAACGCUGGCGGCAUGCCUAACACAUGCAAGUCGAACGAGACCUUCGGGUCUAGUGGCGCACGGGUGCGUAACGCGUGGGAAUCUGCCCUUGGGUUCGGAAUAACAGUUGGAAACGACUGCUAAUACCGGAUGAUGACGUAAGUCCAAAGAUUUAUCGCCCAAGGAUGAGCCCGCGUAGGAUUAGCUAGUUGGUGAGGUAAAGGCUCACCAAGGCGACGAUCCUUAGCUGGUCUGAGAGGAUGAUCAGCCACACUGGGACUGAGACACGGCCCAGACUCCUACGGGAGGCAGCAGUGGGGAAUAUUGGACAAUGGGCGAAAGCCUGAUCCAGCAAUGCCGCGUGAGUGAUGAAGGCCUUAGGGUUGUAAAGCUCUUUUACCCGGGAUGAUAAUAACAGUACCGGGAGAAUAAGCGCCGGCUAACUCCGUG
rnacentral:rRNA from 1 species